AUCUUGCCAAUGACUCCCCAUUUUCUUCCAUCUCUUCGAUCUUCUCUCUCGAGGAGAACUUACCAAAUCCGACUCCUGGAACUCGAAUUCGAGCUCAAAAUGAGAUCUUUUAGGGUUUCCUUUGCUCAGUUGCGCUCCUGAUGGCCCUAAUUUUGCUGGGUUUCUUGUUUCUGAUACAGUCAUCGAAUUCAGUUGAGACCCAUUUGGGGGUUUGUGGAUCGGAUCGAGUUGGGUUUGUGAAAUCAUCAGAUGGGUAUCAGCUGUUUGUUAAUGAGAAGAGGGUUGAAGAUCAAUUUUUGAUUUGUGAGGCUUUGGGCUUCUAUUUUGGACGUGGAUGUUUGUUUGAUGCUGAAGAAUGGGGAAGCAUCUGGGAGAAGCACUGUGAUCGGAAAUUCAGUCGCCAAAGUGCAAUUUCUGCAAACUUUCGUCAAGUGGAAGGGAGAAAACUAUUGCAACGAACACCAGCAAAUACCUCCAUCUCUAAUCAGUUACAUAGAAAGGAUCAACAGGAAGAGAAGACUUUGGCACCUGCAACAAUGGCUCUGGCUAUACCCGGAGCUUUCCUCUUGUGUUGUGCUCUAAUGUGUCCAUGUUUCUAUGCCAAGAAGAAGGAAUCCAGCGAGCAGAAUAUUAUGUCUACAGAGAUGGACUUAAAUUCAGUUUCGACUUUGGAAGAAAAGACCCCAGCCUCUCCACUUGGAGUACCUCUUAGCCCAUCUCGGUUUGCAAUGUCGCCGCAAUUGAACAGGAUGGGAUCAAUUCAUCUCAGUGUUAGCCAAAUUAUGAAAGCCACACAUGAUUUUUCACCUUCAUUAAAGCUUGGUGAAGGUACAUUUGGCACUGUUUACAAAGCUGUUUUGCCAAAUGGUCAAAUAGUUGCUGUCAAGCGAGCAAAAAAGGAACAAUUCUCUUCACUUCGAGAUGAGUUUAGCAAUGAAGUUGAGCUCCUCAGGAAAAUCGAUCAUAGAAAUUUAGUGAAGUUACUUGGAUACACUGAAAAGGGAAAUGAGCGUAUAGUCAUCACAGAAUAUGUGCCAAAUGGCACUCUUCGAGAGCACCUGGAUGGCCAGCAUGGGAAGAUUCUGGAUUUUAAUCAGCGACUUGAGAUAGCUAUAGAUGUUGCUCAUGCUCUGACUUAUCUCCAUCUAUAUGCGGAAAAGCCAAUAAUCCACCGAGAUGUGAAGUCAUCAAACAUCAUGCUAACAGAAAGCUUCCGAGGCAAGGUAUCUGACCUCGGGUUUGCUAGAAUUGGUCCAACAGAAGCAGAGCAAACUCAUAUCUUAACCCAAGUGAAAGGAACAGCUGGGUACCUCGACCCAGAAUACCUCAAGACUUACAAGCUGACGUCUAAAAGUGAUGUUUUCUCUUUUGGGAUAUUGCUUAUAGAGAUUCUCUCAGCUCGAAGGCCUGUAGAGCUCAAAAAGAGCAACAAUGAAAGGAUUACUGUUCGUUGGGCUUUCAAGAAUUAUAAUGAAGGACAUGGGAUGGCGAUAUUGGAUCCAAUGCUGAAGGAAGCUGUAGAUGGAGAAGUAGUAAUGAAGAUGCUCGAUCUGGCAUUUCAGUGUUCUGCACCAACUCGGGCAGAUAGACCAGAGAUGAAAGAAGUUGGAGAGAAGCUCUGGGAGAUAAGGAAGCUCUAUGGAAGAACUCGCAGAGGAAGAUGAAGCGGCUGAAGGUCCUCGCUAUUUCAUUGAGGUAUUAUUCUGGUCAUUCAUCUCUAAUUUGAGUUCUUAUUCAUGAAGUAUCUCGGCUAUGAAAAGUCACAGCGUGAUGAAGAAAGAAUUAAACACGUCAAGAAGAAAGCAAUAGAAUAUGCAGAGAGCUUGAAAUGAACCUUUUUGUGAAAUUGGAUUUGUUGCAGAGAGCUUGAAAUGAAUCUGUUUGUGAACCUGUAUAACAUUCUAAUGGGAGUAAUCUUGCUCCAAUUUUUUUUUUGAUGCGUAUGUAUGUAGAAUGACAUUGUAGCCAUUCAAUAUUUUGAAAGAAUUUCACUUAAAAGAGUACAAUAUCUAUGCCUGGUUUUGUUUCUGUUUCAUUU